CCUACGGGAGGCAGCAGUAAGGAAUAUUGGUCAAUGGACGAAAGUCUGAACCAGCCAUGCCGCGUGAAGGAUGACGGCCCUCUGGGUUGUAAACUUCUUUUAUCUGGGACGAAAAAAGGGAAUUCUUUCUCACUUGACGGUACCAGAGGAAUAAGCACCGGCUAACUCCGUGCCAGCAGCCGCGGUAAUACGGAGGGUGCAAGCGUUAUCCGGAUUCACUGGGUUUAAAGGGAGCGUAGGUGGGCAGGUAAGUCAGUGGUGAAAUCUCCGGGCUUAACCCGGAAACUGCCAUUGAUACUAUUUGUCUUGAAUUAUCUGGAGGUAAGCGGAAUAUGUCAUGUAGCGGUGAAAUGCUUAGAUAUGACAUAGAACACCGAUUGCGAAGGCAGCUUACUACGGAUAUAUUGACACUGAGGCUCGAAAGCGUGGGGAUCAAACAGGAUUAGAUACCCUGGUAGUCCACGCCCUAAACGAUGGAUACUCGACAUCAGCGAUACACUGUUGGUGUCUGAGCGAAAGCAUUAAGUAUCCCACCUGGGAAGUACGACCGCAAGGUUGAAACUCAAAGGAAUUGACGG
rnacentral:rRNA from 1 species